CAAAAACAUGUCUUUUAGAAAUUAAUUUAAAGUCUAACCUGCCCACUGAUUUUAUAUUUAAGGGCCGCAGUAUUUUGACUGUGCAAAGGUAGCAUAAUCAUUUGUCUUUUAAUUGAAGGCUGGAAUGAAUGGUUGAAUGAAGUAUUAACUGUCUCAUUUUUAUAAAUUAAGAAUUUAGCUUUUAAAUAAAAAGGUUUAAAUAAAAUUAAAAGACGAGAAGACCCUAUAGAUUUUUAUAUUUUAUUAUUUAAUAUUAGUAAGAAAUAAAUUUUAUUAUUAAUUAAUUUAAUAUUUGAUUGGGGUGAUUAAAAAAUUAAAUAAACUUUUUUAUAUUUAAACAUAAAUUAAUGAAUAAUUGAUCCAAUUUUAUUGAUUAAAAGAUUAAAUUACCUUAGGGAUAACAGCGUAAUUUUUUUAGAGAGUUCAUAUCGAUAAAAAAGAUUGCGACCUCGAUGUUGAAUUAAAGGUUAUUUUUAAAUGUAGUAGUUUAAAGUUUAAGUCUGUUCGACUUUUGAAUCUUUACAUGAUCUGAU
rnacentral:rRNA from 1 species